rnacentral:rRNA from 1 species
GACGAACGCUGGCGGCGUGCUUAGCACAUGCAAGUCGAGCGGUAAGGCCCUUUCGGGGGUACGACGAGCGGCGAACGGGUGAGUAACACGUGGGUGACCUGCCCUCAGCUCUGGGAUAAGACCUGGGAAACCGGGUCUAUACCGGAUAUGACUCCAUGACGCAUGUUGUGGGGUGGAAAGCCUUGUGCGGCUGAGGAUGGGCCCGCGGCCUAUCAGCUUGUUGGUGGGGUGAUGGCCUACCAAGGCGACGAUCCGUAGCCGGCCUGAGGGGCGGUCGGCCACACUGACACUGACAUACGGGUCAGACUCCUACGGGAGGGCAGCAGUCGGGAAUUUUGGGCAAUGGGCGAAAGCCUGACCCAGCAACGCCGCGUGAAGGAUGAAAUCCCUCGGGAUGUAAACUUC